AGAGGAGAGAGUUUAUGAAAAUGUGAGGAUGGAAACAGCUGCAGAUGGAUAAAAACAUCUGCAUGGACAGAACCAGGGGAACGGAUGACGACAUGAAAAACCACAUCUUUGUCUUUCUGAGUAAUUAUUGUGUCAACUUCUUCUUUCCUGAUAUGAGACAGUAUUUUGCAGUUAACCCACG